rnacentral:rRNA from 1 species
AGAUUUCCCACCGCAAGGGUAAGACCCCAGAAAGACUAUCUGGUUGAUAGGUCGAAGGUGUAAGUGCAGCAAUGUAUUUAGCUUAUCGAUACUAAUAGGUCGAGGACGUGACCAAUAUUUAUU